GUUCACAAUGCCUCGGUGUGGCCAAAGCGAAAGUAACUUUCUGCUGAUGGUCGGUCCAUCCACUCAGGAGGGAAGGCUGACUCUGACCUCAUCAGUCGCGGGACCUCAUCAUCACCAACAUCCAGGCGGGCCCAGAGAUCGUCUCUGAUAUGACGAGGGGAACAGCAGCUGAGGAGGACGAGAGGAAGAAGAAGAAGAAGAAAAAGAAAAAGAGAAAAAAAAACCUUUGAUUAACACCGAGCAGGGUCACCAUGCUGGUGGUAGCUGGCUGGAACCCCCCCUAGCACUCGUCGACUGUUGAGUCUGAUCAUCCUUUGAGAUGCAGACACAGGGCUGCGCCUCUGAUGCUCACAAGUGAGAGGUGAUCGGUGUGGGAUUUGUGUGUGUGUGUGUGUUUUUUUUUUUGUGGACAUAGUCAUUUGUAAGGGAAGUAACA